rnacentral:rRNA from 1 species
CAGCCGCCACGGUAAUACGGAGGGGGCUAGCGUUGUUCGGAAUUACUGGGCGUAAAGCGUACGUAGGCGGCUUUGUAAGUUAGAGGUGAAAGCCCGGGGCUCAACCCCGGAAUUGCCUUUAAGACUGCAUCGCUUGAAUCGCGGAGAGGUGAGUGGAAUUCCGAGUGUAGAGGUGAAAUUCGUAGAUAUUCGGAAGAACACCAGUGGCGAAGGCGGCUCACUGGACGCGUAUUGACGCUGAGGUGCGAAAGCGUGGGGAGCAAACAGGAUUAGAUACCCGAGUAGUCCCUGUCUCUUAUAC